AAAUCCAAGAUGGCCGAACAUAAUGUCGAAGUGUUCACAAAUUAAGCCGAUAUCAACCUUGAAACGCUGUUGCUUUGGAUUUGUCUUUUUACAAUGGUCAAAGAGAAGGCACCGGUCAGAGGCCAUUAUUAAGUCAAUCACCAAAAAGGAAAAAAGAAGUUUGUUUAUUGGAGCCUCGUCAUGUCGCUGUCUGUGCCGGUGAGAUGUGCAUGUGCCUCAGUUGGGGUUACACUUCAAUUGGGAUGUGUGUCAUCUAAAACUGCACUCAGUUUUGGACCUCUAAUCCUCCAAGUGAAGAGCGGAAAAGCCCCACAGAGUGCAGCAAGCACAAAGGAUUAGAGACAGCCCAACCCAAAAAGGCUUACCUUGUGAGUCUCUCAUACCAGAGUAAAUUGCAUCCAUCAGUGUGUCAGCUGAGCUGGACUCCUGCCUAACCAUCAGUCCUUCU